rnacentral:rRNA from 1 species
UCAACUUGAGAGUUUGAUCCUGGCUCAGAACGAACGCUGGCGGCAGGCUUAACACAUGCAAGUCGAACGCCCUCUUCGGAGGGAGUGGCAGACGGGUGAGUAAC